rnacentral:rRNA from 1 species
UGGCCAGACUCCUACGGGAGGCAGCAGUCGGGAAUAUUGCGCAAUGGAGGAAACUCUGACGCAGUGACGCCGCGUAUAGGAAGAAGGUUUUCGGAUUGUAAACUAUUGUCGUUAGGGAAGAUACAAGACAGUACCUAAGGAGGAAGCCCCGGCUAACUAUGUGCCAGCAGCCGCGGUAAUACGGAGGGUGCAAGCGUUACUCGGAAUCACUGGGCGUAAAGAGCGCGUAGGCGGGAUAGCAAGUCAGAUGUGAAGUCCUAUGGCUUAACCAUAGAACUGCAUUUGAAACUGUUAUUCUAGAGUAUGGGAGAGGUAGGUGGAAUUCUUGGUGUAGGGGUAAAAUCCGUAGAGAUCAAGAGGAAUACUCAUUGCGAAGGCGACCUGCUAGAACAUAACUGACGCUGAUGCGCGAAAGCGUGGGGAGCAAACAGGAUUAGAUACCCCGGUAAC